GCAUUUUCCAGUAUUUGAGCCAAGCAAAAACAGGGUUCACUCCAUUUCCGCUGUUUGGCUCUGUAUUAUUCCCUUUCCCUUUGAUUCCUUUUUUCUGUUUCCUUAUGCUCGCUGGGAGCAAAAUACCUUCAAUUUUUGUUAUGCUCAUGAUAGUUUCUAACUUUUCUCAAUUCAGAGAAAUGGCUGCAACCAAGGCUUUUCUUGUUUAUGAAUCAUCUUUCGAGUGAAAUCCUCAGUUCUCCACCACCUCACAACUGCAUUCAGUUCUCCAUUCCCAUACGCAAAUGGGUUCUUUCAACACCUGCAACAUCAAACUCGAGAAGGAAAACUCAAUCAAGAAACAUAGCCAGCUUCAGAAGUUGGCAAACUUGUUCAGGUUCAUAGAAAUAUGUCUUGUUCUGGCUUUGAUUUCCAGGUUUUCUGUUCGACUCCCAGUUGCUGUCAAGAACUCUAGUGAAUAUUUCAAGGACAUAACAGUCAUACUUGUAAGCCCUCGUUUCGUGUUCAUCCUCGGAAAUGCCAUAGUCAUCACUCUCUUUGCAAAAUCAGGUCAGUUUUCAGGUCAAGAUCGUACUGGAAAGAAUUCAAAAACAGAUAUUUAUGAAGAGUUUGUUGAAAAGAGUGAAAGAAUUCAUGGCAUGCACCGAUAUGAGUCUGGAUACAAAGAAAAACAGAGCUCCUCUGUUGAAUACAUAGUCACUGAAGCAACUUGUACUUCUGUGGAAAGCAAGAAUUAUCAGAGGAGUCAAUCAGAGAAAUUAGACCGAGCUACUCAUAACAAGUCUUGCCGAGAACUGAGGCGAUCAGCGACUGAGAAAUGUACGAAAAGUAUUGAUUCUGGAGAGGGAUGGGUGAAAAUUUCAUAUCCUGAGGAUAGUAUGAGCAGUGAGGAGUUCAGGUGCAAAGUGGAGGCUUUCAUUGCUAGGCAAAAGAGGUUCAGAAAAGAUGAGGAGAACUCUAUAUAUUAGAGUAAUUGGGGUGUCAAUAUAAGCAAAUUCAAGUCCUUUUUCCCCCAAAAUUCUAUUACUGCUAGUGAUAAUGGGGUGUUUGUACAUUGCUAAAUCAUUAAUGCAAUGUAAAUUUGCCUGUUAAGCUUGAUUUUCUCCCCUUAAACCACAUGUUUGAAGC
rnacentral:misc_RNA from 1 species